rnacentral:rRNA from 1 species
UACAGAGGGUGCGAGCGUUAAUCGGAAUUACUGGGCGUAAAGCGCACGUAGUCGGCUUUGCAAGUCGGUUGUGAAAUCCCCGGGCUCAACCUGGGAACUGCAUCCGAGACUGCAUUGCUAGAGUAUGGGAGAGGGAAGCGGAAUUUCUGGUGUAGCAGUGAAAUGCGUAGAUAUCAAGCGGAACACCGGUGGCGAAGGCGGCCUUCUGGACAGUGACUGACGCUGAGACGCGAAAGCGUGGGGAGCAAACAGG